rnacentral:rRNA from 1 species
UACGGGGGGGGGCAAGCGUUGUUCGGAAUUACUGGGCGUAAAGGGCUCGUAGGCGGCCAACUAAGUCAGACGUGAAAUCCCUCGGCUUAACCGGGGAACUGCGUCUGAUACUGGAUGGCUUGAAUCCGGGAGAGGGAUGCGGAAUUCCAGGUGUAGCGGUGAAAUGCGUAGAUAUCUGGAGGAACACCGGUGGCGAAGGCGGCAUCCUGGACCGGCAUUGACGCUGAGGAGCGAAAAGCCAGGGGA